GUCUAGUGAAUGAGCCAGCACUACUAACUCAAGGUACUUCUUCGGGCCAGCUCGACUAAUUGAGUAAAUCUGUCUAUCUAAACUUGAUCAGAUGACAAGAAAUCACUCAGCGUUUUUAGCCAUUCCUAGAAUUUGAACCUGAAAACUCAUGAUUUUCCCGCGGUUGAGUGCUUAAUUUCCUUAACCUUACCUAAUAGUGUCACAUAUAGCAACCAUGCACAAAAAAAGUUUGCUUUGUUCUUUUUUGUACUCCUACUAAAGAUUAUAUAAAGAGGUCUUUUUCAAAAAACACAAGUUUUUGGAAUUACUAGUAUGAGUCAACGCUCUAAUUUGCUUCAAUAUUUUAGUACACUGUGCUGUUGGUUAUCAACUACCACUAAUACAUAAUAUAAUGAUUUUGUCAUAUGAACAGGAGAACCAACGAUGGAUCGGUAUCCAAAUGUUCAGCAACAACCGCUGAUACGAACCUAUCAGCGAAACACAAUUUUGACAGAUGCAUCUGAUGAACAAUUAGCUGAAUACAAUGACUGGAUUGUUAAUCCCAACUAUAUUUGCACUCUUGCUGAUAACAACACUGGUGGUUACUUUUCAGACGGAUCUUCUAAUAGACAAUUAUUGCGCUAAAUUUGCAUUGUCAGCAUAUAAAAUUAACUGAAUUCUUCUAAGAAGAUGAAGACACUGAAGGAAUGAAAUUUAUGCAUCAGGUGUACAUAGUGUGCAGGAACAAAUAUUUUGCCCAAAUAAGGGGCUGAAAAUUGUUGUAGAAAUUGCGCCACCCCUUUGUAAAAGAUGUGUGGACUGGCUAUAGUAUGUAGAGGUAUAUGUCUCAAGUUUUUUUUUUCUUUUUAAGAUUCAAACUUGAAUUAUCUAUUGUAGAGAGGUACUGUUCAUGUUAAUUGAAUGAAACAAAUUAAUGCAAAUGUUUACUUUGAUUAUGCAUCAAGCUAUGACUUAGUUUCUUUUACACCCUCUUCUUGUUGCUAAGGGAAUUCAUAGUCGCUGUCUUUUGAAUGCACAGGGUAAAUUCUGCUUUAUUGUACUUUAUGACUUGCAUUAUUGACAAUAAUUUUGUUAAGUCUUCAUUUUAUCCCAUGAAAAGUGGAUUCCAAAUUUGUGAUUGUGAUUUAAAAAGAAAUUUCAUACAUUAUUUUUCUGGUGAAUAAAUAAAGUAGCUGAACAAGAGAAAUAGUUAAGUAACAAUUUUGAUCGUACAAUUAAUGUCAAUGGUAGUGUGAUGAGGGUUGUUGGAUCGAAAAAUUGCCACUAACUAUAUAAUAUUUAUAAUUUUGUCUACUGAUAUCUUUAAAAAAAAUAAAAAUAAAUCAAGCUAAGCAUGGUGUUUCUUGUAUGUAUUGCACAUAUUUAAUUACUACUACAAAUUAAAUAAGUACAAUAAUUUUUUUGUCCCGAUUUAGAUAUUUUUGAUUUUGGAGGAAUUAUUACUUGAGAAGUUGGAGAGUUCUUUUUGUAUAUUGGUGAGUAAAGUUAAUAGAAUUCUUUAAAGAAAGAAAUAUUUCUUUGAUUGGAAAUUGCUGAAAUUAAAGCAACAUUUCUUUGAUUGGAAAUUGCUGAAAUUAAAGCAACAUCCUUAGAUAUACAUAAACUUUCGUUUAAUAUAUAUUCCUACUAGAUAGUGGUAACUACUCUCUUACCGUUUCAUAUUAGUACCUUUUUUGUAUGAAACUUCUAAUUUAUGAAAUAUAAUUUUUAUAUCUUAUUCCACUUCUUUAAUAUAUUUAUUUAAAUUUAGACAAUUAUUAUUGUACAACAUGUGAAUUUCUCUAAGAAAAAACUCACCAACCAUGAUAUAUAGAGAACACUCACUGAAGAUAUACAAUUUUAUGAACGAUUUAGUGAACGAUUCAUGUAUAUUUGACGACGUAACAUUCGUAUUCGAUAAUAUUUUAAUAGUGAUAUAAUCAUUACUCAAUAAUGUAGUUAUAAUGAUUAGUAACAUAUAUAUUUUGUUUGAUGAUUUAAACUCUUUUAACCAAGAAAAAAGAUUUAUUUUAGCGCACAAACUUAAUAGUCAUUCAUGAAUAUAUAUAUAUUGCAACUGUAUUGAUAAACGUUGAUAAACGUCUCCCAGUCAUUAAUUAUGAAAUUGCAUCAUUAUAUAUAAUGUUAUCAAAAGUGUGGGGGGAGGGGGGGAAAAUAAUUUUGCAUAAAAUUUGCUUUUAAAAUAAAAAUUAAUAGAUAUAUAAACAGUAAAUUCUAAUAUUAUAUUAACAAUAUAUAUAUAUUAAAAAUGAAUCAAAAAAUAUAUAUGUUAAUUUGAAUUUGAAUUAUUUUAGAAAUAAAAAUUAAUAAUACUAACAACUUUAAGGUUAUUUCAGAUAUUUUGACCAAAAAAAUGCUUAACAACACUUGUUUACCAAACACAUCAAUAAUUUUUUUUUUUUUAGUUUCAGCACUUUUAUCCAAACACAUAACUGUUUAAUUUUAUUUUUAUAAUAAAUUUCAACACAUUUUAAAAGUCAUUUUCUUUCUACUUAUCCAAACGGGCUCAAAGUGGUUACAUCAGUCUGCCUUACAUCACUCGGGAGUCGAGAAUAUUUAAGCCUCUCUUGCCGCGCUAUUUCUUUCUUCAUUCCUCGAAACUUCAUUAAUUACCAAAUGUAAACCUUAAUAUACAUUUUAUAACCUAUGGUUUUAUUCUUUUAUUAUUAAACCAUCUUUUCCCAUUAAUUACAUACACUCAUUCCCUAUAUAUAGUUCCAUUCUUACCCAUUCCUCAUCAUCAUUUUCUUGUUUUGCACUGAAAAUUUCUUGAGCUUAUCACACUUCACUCCUCAAAAAUGGCAGCUAAACGAUUCUUUGAUGACUCCGACCCCGACCCGAACCAACGGAAUAACAAACGGAUAAAAUCUACCGCUACUAGACCUUCUUUCGCUUCGUAUGUCACUACUUUUUUAAAAUAUCACUUAAUUCAUGUCGAUAUAUAUAUAGCGUACCUAUUUAAAUUUCAAAAUUGUGUGACUUGUUGCUGUUUGUUUGUUUGUUAUUAUUUGCAGUGUCAUUAAAGAAGUGGUUAUGGUGAAUUUCCUAGACAAUGUCUCUUCCGCCUUGGAACCCAUGCUCCGUCGAGUGGUAUGACCUUUAAUAUUUGAAUAAAUUUUGCGUAUGAUCACUGAACCUUAUCGUUUUAUAUCAACAAUUAAUUUUGGUACGUGCAUUUAGCAGGUUAAUGAAGAGGUGGAAAAAGGACUGAGGCGUUAUUCAUGCCGUACAAUAAGUAGAUCUCCUUCACUGCGAAUCAAAGCAUUAGAGCCGUCAAUUCUCCGUCUCAUCUUCAACAAAAAUCUCCAUCUUACAAUCUUCACCGGCAGCAAAAUCACCGGCGUCGAUGGACGGAAUCUCCAAAUUCUACUGGUGGAUACAAGCGGCGAAGGCAUGGUUCCGACGACUUUACCGUAUCCUAUAAAAGUAGAAAUCGUCGUACUCGACGGAGAUUUCCCUUCUGAAACGAAUUGGUCACGUGAUGAAUUCGACAAAAAUAUCGUUAAGGAGAGAACUGGAAAGAGGCCAUUGCUUACCGGUGAACUCAAUUUCACGAUGCGUGACGGCGUCGCUACCGUUGGGGAAAUCGAAUUCACUGAUAAUUCGAGCUGGAUUAGGUGCCGGAAAUUCAGAAUUGGUGCAAAAGUGGUUCAAACUGGGAAUAAUCAAAAUACUGUUCGAAUUACAGAAGCCAUUACUCAAGCUUUUAUGGUUAAAGAUCACCGCGGAGAAUGUAAGCAAUCUCUUUUUAUUAUCACAUAAUUGAAAUUUCGAGAUUUAAACUUUGAAUAUGGACAUAAAAACUUUUUAAUUUUUUUUUUGUAUAAAUAAAAUACAUAUAUUUUAAAGGAAUUGACUGUUAAAACAGCGGAGAGAGUAAGCAAUUUCAAUUUUUUUCUCUUUUUGUAGUCAAAGCUAAUUUUUCUAACUUAACAAGCAUCCAUGACUCAUUAUUCUGAUUUCUAGCCUCAGAAUUUCUUAAAUUACAAAAGGACCUAAGUUAUAUAAUACUAGAUAGUUUUAGUUGUUUUUAAAAAAUAGAGGUACUGUAGUUUAUUCUGUCGUGACUUAUUAUGUGUUGUUUUAGUUGAUAAAGUCUUCGUACACUCCGUACCCUCAGAACGCCACCUAUUUGAAUACACUAGAUAGAAUCUUUUGAAAACAACCUCUUAUUAUGUGUUAUUUGAGUCCGAGAAUAGGAUAAAGUCUUUGUACACUCUAUACUCUCAAAACGCCGCUUGUGUGAAUACAGUGGGUAGAAUCUUUCCUAAACCUCUUAUUAUGUGUUAUUUGAGUCUGAGCAUAGAAUAAAGUCUCUGUACACUCUAUACUCUCAAAAAGCCACCUGUGUGAAUACACUGGGUAGAAUCUUUCAAAAACAACCUCUUAUUAUGUGUUAUUUGAGUCCGAGAAUAGGAUAAAGUCUUUGUACACUCAAUACUCUCAAAAUGCCACCCGUUUGAAUACACUGGAUAGAAUUUUUCGAAAACAAUCUCUUUUAUCUAACUAGACAAGAAUAAAGUCUACACACUUUAUACUCUUUAGACCCACCCAUGUGAAUAUGUUGAGUAUGUUACUGUUGUUAUAUUUUAUUUUGUUGUAGCGGGGUCGAGGAGUUCACUUAGUGGCUCUCAUCUGAUUGAGAUACAGUAUGUUAUAGCAUGUAAUUUGACUUAUUUUUUUAAGGUUACUGAUCUACUUUUAUAGAAGGCUACCUGUGGGAUUACGUUGAGUUUGGAAAUUAAUUAGUGUGUCUCAUGUUAACAUAUUGCAGUGUACAAGAAACAUUACCCACCAGCACUAGGAGAUGAAGUGUGGCGUCUUGAGAAAAUUGGAAAAGAUGGAAUUUUUCACAAAAAGCUCUCUCUAAAUGGCAUCAACACUGUACAAGAUUUCUUGAAGUUGGCCACCAUUGACACACCACAGCUUAGAAAUGUAAGCCUUUACUGAGACAAAAACAAAUCUCAAUUAAAAUGAAUUACAAAUAUAGUUACUUAAUUGUUUGUGGUUCGGUCCUUCCCCCGAUUCGUGCACCGAACUGUUCUUUUACUUAUUGUUUGUGAAUAUACAGAUGCUGGGAACUGGAAUGUCAGAAAAAAUGUGGGAAGUGACAUACAAGCAUGCAAAAACUUGUGAUAUGGGCUCAAAGUUAUACAUGGCUCGUGGGCCAAACUAUUUACUCAUACUCAAUCCAAUUUGUCAAGUGGUUAGGGCAAUUAUUGAUGGGCAAAUUUAUCCUAUUCGUGAAUUAACAGGAAUACAAAAGGUAAAAAAAAAUAAAAAUUGUGAUUUUGUAUGCACUUUGAGAGAGUUUGAUUCUUGAGAUAUUGUAAAUUUUGUACGUGAACAGUUCUUUUAAUAUCUAUACAACUGUAUUAACAGGCAUAUAUCCAGAAUUUGGUGAAGGACGCCUACGCCAAUUGGAGUUCCUUGGAAGAAGUUGAUGGUCUAGUGAAUGAGCCAGCACUACUAACUCAAGGUACUUCUUCGGGCCAGCUCGACUAAUUGAGUAAAUCUGUCUAUCUAAACUUGAUCAGAUGACAAGAAAUCACUCAGCGUUUUUAGCCAUUCCUAGAAUUUGAACCUGAAAACUCAUGAUUUUCCCGCGGUUGAGUGCUUAAUUUCCUUAACCUUACCUAAUAGUGUCACAUAUAGCAACCAUGCACAAAAAAAGUUUGCUUUGUUCUUUUUUGUACUCCUACUAAAGAUUAUAUAAAGAGGUCUUUUUCAAAAAACACAAGUUUUUGGAAUUACUAGUAUGAGUCAACGCUCUAAUUUGCUUCAAUAUUUUAGUACACUGUGCUGUUGGUUAUCAACUACCACUAAUACAUAAUAUAAUGAUUUUGUCAUAUGAACAGGAGAACCAACGAUGGAUCGGUAUCCAAAUGUUCAGCAACAACCGCUGAUACGAACCUAUCAGCGAAACACAAUUUUGACAGAUGCAUCUGAUGAACAAUUAGCUGAAUACAAUGACUGGAUUGUUAAUCCCAACUAUAUUUGCACUCUUGCUGAUAACAACACUGGUGGUUACUUUUCAGACGGAUCUUCUAAUAGACAAUUAUU
rnacentral:lncRNA from 1 species